rnacentral:rRNA from 1 species
GAUGAACGCUGGCGGCGUGCCUAAUACAUGCAAGUCGAGCGAACAGACGAGGAGCUUGCUCCUCUGACGUUAGCGACGGACGGGUGAGUAACACGUGGAUAACCUACCUAUAAGACUGGGAUAACUGCGGGAAACCGGAGCUAAUACCGGAUAAUAUAUUGAACGGCAUGGUUCAAUAGUGAAAGACGGUUUUGCUGUCACUUAUAGCUGGAUCCGCGCCGCAUUAGCUAGUUGGUAAGGUAACGGCUUACCAAGGCAACGAUGCGUAGCCGACCUGAGAGGGUGAUCGGCCACACUGGGACUGAGACACGGUCCAGACUCCUACGGGAGGCAGCAGUAGGGAAUCUUCCGAAAUGGGCGAAAGCCUGACGGAGCAACGCCGCGUGAGUGAUGAAGGUCUUCGGAUCGUAAAACUCUGUUAUUAGGGAAGAACAAAUGUGUAAGUAACUAUGCACGUCUUGACGGUACCUAAUCAGAAAGCCCCGGCUAACUACGUG